UGAAGACUUGUCUCCAAAACAAUUUU
rnacentral:piRNA from 1 species